rnacentral:rRNA from 1 species
CCUACGGGGUGCAGCAGUGAGGCAUAUUGGUCAAUGGACGAGAGUCUGAACCAGCCAAGUAGCGUGAAGGAUGACUGCCCUAUAGGUUGUAAACUUCUUUUAUAUGGGAAUAAAAUGUUCCACGUGUGGGAUUUUGUAUGUACCAUAUGAAUAAGGAUCGGCUAACUCCGUGCCAGCAGCCGCGGUAAUACGGAGGAUCCGAGCGUUAUCCGGAUUUAUUGGGUUUAUAGGGAGCGUAGGUGGAUUGUUAAGUCAGUUGUGAAAGUUUGCGGCACAACCGUAGAAUUGCAGUUGAAACUGGCAGUCUUGAGUACAGUAGCGGUGGGCGGAAUUCGUGGUGUAGCGGUGAAAUGCUUAGAUAUCACGCAGAACUCCGAUUGCGAAGGCAGCUCACUGGGCUGCAACUGACACUGAGGCUCGAAAGUGUGGGUAGCAAACAGGAUUAGAUACCCCAGUAGUC